GUAUUAUGCAGACGGUGAUCGAUCAGAACCUUUAUUUUGAAGAAAGAAGGAACGCUUGCUAUCAGCGAUCAGCUGGAUGUGUCUGAGUUCACAGUCGCUGCACGGCGCUUUUCAACUUGCAAUCUACAAAAGAAACAGCUGAUGCUCAAAGUCCAAGUUCUCUGUUCGUCUAGAUAUUUUUGGGAACCAUCUCGGUGUGUGUAAGCAUGUCCACGACCUCGUAGCCUCUUAAUUUCCAGGGAGUGUGAGUGUGUGUGGUCUCUGUGAGACUAAAAACGUGCAUGUGAGAGUGUGUAUCAACCUCACAUUUAGAAGUAUUUUGUGAGUGUAUGCAUGUGUGUCAUCAUGGGGGACGUCAUUGACUUGGACAGACAAAUUGAGCAACUCAGACGCUGUGAACUUAUCAAGGAAAAUGAAGUCAAGGCAUUAUGUGCCAAAGCAAGGGAGAUCCUAGUAGAAGAAAGUAAUGUUCAAAGAGUAGAUUCCCCAGUCACAGUAUGCGGUGAUAUACAUGGGCAGUUUUACGAUCUAAAAGAGCUUUUUAGGGUGGGAGGUGAAGUCCCAGAAACAAACUACCUCUUCAUGGGAGACUUUGUGGACAGAGGGUUUUACAGUGUGGAGACUUUUCUGUUACUUCUAGCAUUAAAGGUGCGAUACCCUGAUCGGAUAACACUAAUAAGAGGGAAUCAUGAGUCAAGGCAAAUCACGCAAGUCUACGGCUUUUAUGAUGAAUGCCUUCGAAAAUAUGGCUCUGUUACUGUAUGGAGGUACUGCACGGAGAUCUUUGACUACCUGUCUCUCUCUGCCAUUGUUGACGGCAAGGUAUUCUGUGUGCAUGGUGGCCUUUCUCCAUCCAUUCAAACUUUGGACCAGAUCAGGACCAUCGACCGAAAACAAGAAGUACCUCACGAUGGACCUAUGUGCGACCUUCUAUGGUCUGACCCAGAGGAAACCACAGGGUGGGGUGUGAGUCCAAGGGGAGCUGGAUAUCUGUUUGGUAGUGAUGUGGUGGCACAGUUUAAUGCAGCAAAUGAUAUCAGCAUGAUCUGCAGAGCUCAUCAGCUGGUAAUGGAGGGCUACAAGUGGCAUUUUAAUGAGACUGUGUUGACAGUGUGGUCCGCUCCCAAUUACUGUUAUAGGUGUGGUAAUGUGGCAGCCAUUUUGGAACUUGAUGAACAUCUCCAGAAGGAGUUUAUCAUAUUUGAAGCUGCUCCUCAGGAAACCAGAGGUCUCCCCUCAAAGAAACCAGUGGCAGACUACUUUCUUUGACCUUUUGCCCUCAGAAAUUAGUUUUAAUUUUUUUUAAACUAAAUUUUAUCUUCACAACAUUCAGUGCUUCUGUCAAUAGCCCGGUUGUAGCAUUUACUGCCUGUUUUUCAUUUGCUUUCACAUUCCUUCCACCCAAAAGCUUUUCUUGUAAAAUAUGGCAGCUCAGAAUAUGCAAAUGAAAGCUGACGUAGUGGUAGGCAAUGAAAGGUUUAAACUGGUAAAACAAGAGCCAGGCUUUACGGUUUAUUACAGGACUGUCGGCAUUGAUAUUCAAGAGGGCAUUUAUCAAGGUCUCCCAAAUGUCCCACAGUACACAGAGGCCUCCAGUCAAACAGAUGUUUUUAAAACAUAUGCCAGGGUUGAAUAUUUUGUGCAAGGGAUGUUUGACCGAGCUUGUGCACAAAGCAAAAAGGGAACAGCAGAGGGGUCCACAUCAUCUGAAGAAGACGAUGCCACAAUUGACGUACAAGAUGUUUUGAGACUGUGUAGACAUGCGUCUCGACAUAACAUCGAUACCUCACCAGUCAGGCUGAAGGCAAAAGUGGUGAAUGCCACUUUGUUCCUUCGAAAAAAAUGGAAGGCGGUGAAAAAAACUAUUACCUCCUGCCUGAGGUCAAACAAAGUUAUACAGUUAGUCUAAAACAAACUAAAUAAAAAGUACAGUAACACUGCA